rnacentral:rRNA from 1 species
UACGGAGGGUGCGAGCGUUGUCCGGAAUCAUUGGGCGUAAAGGGCGCGUAGGUGGCCCGGUCAGUUCGUGGUGAAAGCGCGGGGCUCAACCCUGCGUCGGCCAUGAAUACUGCCGCGGCUGGAGCACUGUAGAGGCAGGCGGAAUUCCGGGUGUAGCGGUGGAAUGCGUAGAGAUCGGCAGGAACACCCAGGGGGAAACCAGUCGACUGGGCAGCACCUGACGCUGAGGUGCGAGAGCGUGGGGAGCGAACCGG